GAUGAACGCUGGCGGCGUGCCUAAUACAUGCAAGUCGAGCGAACAGACGAGGAGCUUGCUCCUCUGACGUUAGCGGCGGAAGUGUGAGUAACACGUGGAUAACCUACCUAUAAGACUGGGAUAGCUUCGGGAAACCGGAGCUAAUACCGGAUAAUAUAUUGAACCGCAUGGUUCAAUAGUGAAAGACGGUUUUGCUGUCACUUAUAGAUGGAUCCGCGCCGCAUUAGCUAGUUGGUAAGGUAACGGCUUACCAAGGCAACGAUGCGUAGCCGACCUGAGAGGGUGAUCGGCCACACUGGAACUGAGACACGGACAAGACUCCUAGGGGAGGCAGCAGUAGGGGAUCUGCAGCAAUGGGCGAAAACCUGACGGAGCCAAGCCGCGUGAGUGAAGAAGAUCUUGGGAUCGUCAAGCUCUGUUAGUAGGGAAGAACAAAUGUGUAAGUAAAUAUGCACGUCUUGACGGUACCUACUCAGAAAGCCACGGCUAACUACGUG
rnacentral:rRNA from 1 species